GACACAGGCACCGGCUUAGAGACCUCAGUCCCCCGGAGGAGGCUGGUCUGUGGGCAUCUUAGGACAUCCGUGAGAAGGCUCCAGAUGGAAAAUGCUGGAGGGCCCAGGUUUUCAGGAAGGCACCUCCUCACCUUUCAGUCCGGGAGAACGUGUUCCAGCAAAGCCAGGGAGAGAGGCUCGCCGGCCCAGGCCUCUCCAGCUUCUCUUAAAGGCGAAAAGAGAAGCUGAGGACCCCGCACGCUCCCCAGCGCAUAGAGCUGAAGCCACGACCCCAAGGAUCCCAUCCAAGAAACCCUAUUAUGUUCAGUCAUCAGGUCUCCUUGGGCUCCUCUCGGCUGUGAUGGUUUCUCAGACUUGCCUUGUUUUUGAUGACCUGGGCAGUUCUGAGGCGUGCUGGUCAGGUGUUUUGCAGAAUGUUCUUCAGCUGGCAUUUGUUUGCUGAUUUUCCUCAUGAUGAAACUAGGGUCACGGGUUUGGGGGAAGAAAACCACAGGGAUAAGGGGCCAUUCUCGUCACAUAUCAAGGGCACAUACUGUCACCAUGACUUCUCGUUGCUGACGCUGACACUGACCCCCUGGCUGAGGCCGAGUUGGUCACUGUCCAGUUCCUCCUUUGGCCCUUUCCACGCUGUCCUCUUUGGAAGGAAGCACAUACCUCUCUGCACAGCACACACGGAAGGGCUGGGGAGUGAGGCUCCGCUCCCUGGAGGCUGAGUGUCCACCUGAUUCGGGAUUCGUCUGCACAGUUCGUCUGUCCUCCCUCGUUUGUGUCCCUCUCCAGUCACCGCUUUCCAGCGCUAUGGACUCAGGGAUACUUCCUUGAGGCGCUGGGUUAUCAUCCACUACUACUUCAUUCUGUUGCUCAGGCCUUUCCAGAUGUGGCCACUGGAGGCGCUUUCCAUUGGCUCCUGCGUCCCUCUGAUCUAUCUCAUCGCUGUGCUUUUGUGGAGCGCAUCCUUCUGAUACGAAGACGCGCCAGACUCCAGCUGUAUAUUCCCUGUCCUCGUCCUGCAAUCAGUCAUUUCUCCCAGGAGCCCUGGUUUCUCUCAUGACACCACGGUGUUAAAAA
rnacentral:lncRNA from 9 species